AACAUAUCAGUAGGCUGAGCCACACCAGUGGACUUCCAAUAGGCUCUGAGUUGCUGUAUGUUGAAGGACAGCAAGAAUCACUUGAUGAUUAGUUUUUCAGCAUAAUGGCAUCUGUAAACAGAAAGAGUGAAAUAAUUAAAAAACUUAAAACAGACAAAUGUCUCCUGGAGGACAUAAACGAAAGGCGAGAAUCCAACUGCCUGGUGGAAAGAAGCAAUCAAGUCAGCUUAUUGAGAGUUCAAAAGAGGCAUUUCCAUGGUGACUACAAGUCCCUUACUCAUGACCAGGUCAAAGAAAUUGUUCCCGACAGUGACAGGAGCUCUUGGGUCAAACUGAGUCUCUUCGUUCACAAGGAGAAAAGGCACUUUCCACCAAAAAAUAAUGCCAUAUUUGGAUAAAGUCCAUCUACGAAGACACAUAGAAACACAAUCUCUUUGAUCCUUCUUCAAUAUCCGUCUAAAUUAUUUACAAAUAUUAAUUAUAAGAGAAGCCAAAGAAAACUAUUCACUAGAUCAUCAAGAAACCAUUGAGCCACACAAAAUGUAUUACAUCUUCACUGCCUUCCAUCAUUUAGACUUAAAUGUUUUGAAGAGAGGAUUUGAGUUAUUAAAGAUACUUUCAGAGAUGGAUGACCUAAA